rnacentral:rRNA from 1 species
GGUUUCUUGUAAAGUAUUAGAAAUUUGACCUGCCCAAUGAGUAUAAUUAAAUGGCCGCGGUAUUUUGACCGUGCGAAGGUAGCAUAAUCAUUAGUCCUUUAAUUGUGGACUGGUAUGAAUGGUUGGACGUAAUAACGUCUUUUUUAAUUUUAAAUGUUGAAUUUUACUUUUUAGUGAAGAGGCUAAGAUGAAAUCAAAAGACAAGAAGACCCUAUCAAGUUUAAUUAUUUUAUAUUAGUGAUUAGAGGUAAAUUUGUAAUAGAAAUUAAUUUUACUGGGGCGGUAAAGUUAAAACUAACUAAGAUCCAAAAUUUUUGAUUGUCUGUUUAAAUUACUGUAGGGAUAACAGCGUAAUCUUAUUUGAGAGUUCAUAUCGACGAUAAGGGUUGCGACCUCGAUGUUGGAUUAGGAUACCUUCUAUGGAGCAAAAUCUAAGAAAGGUGGUCUGUUCGACCAUUAAAAUUCUACA